rnacentral:lncRNA from 1 species
GCAUCACGCUCAUUGCUUUUACCUUCUAAUUCAAAGUACCAAGGAAGGGGAGCAAACCACGGAGGGAGAGAAGCACGGGGGCCUGCCUACAUUUAAGCAUGUCUGUUAACUUCCAAUGAGCAGGGCCAGGAACAAGCAGCUUGCCUAACUAAGGCAGAGGAAAACUCACCACUCUGGGAGGUCGAAGUCCACUGACCCUGCAGCUUUUUACAAACAGUGGAAAGUCGGGCUGACCAUUCCCUAGACACUGUUCCCAUAGACCUUUCUCUUUCAGUCAUUUUUCUGGCAGCUUUCAAGGGAGCCUGUGGGUUUAGGAAAAAUCUGCAGGUCCAGAAUAUACAUCACCCUGCCCUCCACCCAGACACACAGACAUUGCUGCUGGGCAGCAACCAGGUGGCCAGAGCAGCCACGCUGUGCUUGUGACAGUAAAGAGCUCUGACCAUUUUGGAGACCAGUGGUGGUAGCACUCAGGAGCCUGAAACAGAACUAUCACUUCAUCCAGGGCUCCAUUGGCCAAUCCAGGCCAUGUGGUGGUGUGGACACCAUCACAAAAGUUGGUUGGUCAGUAGGUUGGUUGUUUUCUUUGCUUGCUGGCUUGCUUGCUUUUUUAAAAGAUUUGUUUGUUUGUUUGUUUGUUUAUUAUAUGUAAAUACACUGUAGCUGUCCUUAGACACAACAGAAGAGGGCAUCAGAUCUCCUUGCAGAUGAUAGUAAGCCACCAUGUGGUUGCUGGGAUUUGAACUCAGGUCCUCUGGAAGAACAGUCAGUGCUCUUAACCGCUGAGCCAUCUCUCCUGCCCCGAGGUUGGUUGUUUUCUUAACUCAGAGGUUUAUGUGUGUGGGUAUUUUGCCUGCAUGUAUGUAGGUGUACCACUGUGUGCCUGAUAACCAAGGAGGUCAGAUCCCCUGGAACUAGAGAUGCCGAUGGCUGCACCAGCAUGUAGAUACCCGGAAGCACACUGACGCCCUCUGCAAUGUAACAGGUGAUCUUAACCACUGAGCCAUCUCCCCAGGGCCUGUUUUUGUCUUUAAAGGAGAAAGUGAUCUUGUCAUACAACUAUGAAAAAAUGGGGCAGGUCGGCCUGUGUGCACAGGGGGCAAAGUCACCUUGAUCAGUGAAGUUGGUUUUGGUUUUGGUUUUCCAUUGUUUCUUCUAACGAGGCAAGGGUGCGUAAAACAGUGUACUUUCACUGUGUAAGAGAAAGGAAAACUUGAAGGAAGGGUUAAUACAUCUGAGGACCCUGCAGCAGUUGCCCUGGGGCAGAAAGUGGAGCAUGGAAAUGAAGGCACAGAAGGGACAGGCUUUGUGUCCCAUGAUGACCCUUCUACACCUUAGGCAUUGUUUUGUAUGUGUAAAACUCUAGUAUACUAAUGGUCUUCAUAUACAUAUGUGCAGACAUAUACGUGCAAAGAGCAGGGGAUGUUACACAUCUCCUUCAGGUGCUGGCUAUCCUGAUGCCUGCCUGCCUCCACCUGAUCCCACCACCCACACCAGCCCAGCCUCCUGUCU